rnacentral:lncRNA from 1 species
GUAGAAUCAUAGAGAAUAACACACAAUACAGUCUGAGACUUAUUUCCAUCAGUAGAAUCAUAGAGGAUAACACACAAUACAGUCUGGGACUUAUUUCCAUUGUUGAAUCAUAGAGGAUAACACACAAUACAGUCUGGGACUUAUUUCCAUUGUUGAAUCAUAGAGGAUAACACACAAUACAGUCUGGGACUUAUUUCCAUUGUUGAAUCAUAGAGGAUAACACACAACACAGCCUGAGACUUAUUUCCAUUGUUGAAUCAUAGAGGAUAACACACAACACAGCCUGAGACUUAUUUCCAUUGUUGAAUCAUAGAGGAUAACACACAACACAGUCUGAGACUUAUUUCCAUUGUUGAAUCAUAGAGGAUAACACACAAUACAGUCUGGGACUUAUUUCCAUUGUUGAAUCAUAGAGAAUAACACACAAUACAGUCUGGGACUUAUUUCCAUUGUGGUCCUCUUAAAACAAGAUGGCUAGGCAAGAUCCAGCACGGUUGAACACAGUACGACAGCGAGAUAAUAAAACAUUUUUAAAAAUAAGAACAUCUAUCUCAUCAUUGGAGUUACAUCGUAGAGGUCAUUCAUAUGGGCACGGCAGACAUCAAACUGUUUUUUACUUUCAUUUUGAAGCUGCCCAGAGUGGAUGUCGUUUUUAUGGUCAGAAGAAACUCAUUCCACUCUGAGGCGCCUGUAUACUAGACAGUACCUUUCCCGGCAUUACUCCUGAACCUGUAUAAGCACACAUUAUAACACGGUUCAUACGGUUCAUAUGGUUCAAUGGUCACGGUUCAUAUGGUUCACACGUUUCAUAUAGUUCAUAUGGUUCGCACAGUUCAUAUGGUUCACACGGUUCAUAUGGUUCACACGGUUCAUAUGGUUCACACGGUUCAUAUGGUUCACACGGUUCAUAUGGUUCAUACGGUUUAUAUGCUUCACACGGUUCAUAUGGUUCAAAGAGUUCAUAUGGUUCAAACGGUUCAUAUGGUUCACACGGUUCAUACGGUUUAUAUGGUUCACACGAUUCAUAUGGUUCACACGGUUCAUAUGGUUCAAAUGGUUCAUAUGGUUCACACAGUUCAUAUGGUUCACACGGUUCAUAUGGUUCACACGGUUCAUAUGGUUCACACAGUUCAUAUGGUUCACACGGUUUAUAUGGUUCACACGGUUCAUAUGGUUCACACGGUUCAUAUGGUUCACACGGUUCAUAUGGUUCACCGGUUCAUAUGGUUCAAACGGUUCAUAUGGUUCACACGGUUCAUACGGUUUAUAUGGUUCACACGGUUCAUAUGGGUCACAUGGUUCAUACAGUUCACACAGUUCAUACGGUUCACACGGUUCAUAUGGUUCACACUGUUCAUAUGGUUCACACGGUUCAUAUGGUUCAAAUGGUUCAUAUGGUUCACACAGUUCAUAUGGUUCGCACAGUUCAUACGGUUUAUAUGGUUCACACGGUUCAUAUGGUUCAUACGGUUUAUAUGGUUCAUAUGGUUCACACGGUUCAUAUGGUUCACACGGUUCAUACGGUUUAUAUGGUUCACACGGUUCAUAUGGUUCACACGGUUCAUAUGGUUCACACGGUUCAUAUGGUUCACACGCUUCAUAUGGUUCAUACGGUUCAUAUGGUUCACACAGUUCAUAUGGUUCACACGUUUCAUAUAGUUCAUAUGGUUCGCACAGUUCAUAUGGUUCAAACGGUUCAUAUGGUUUACAUCUGAUGAACAAUAGACAAUAAUAGCAUCAACAGCAGCUGGAGGAAAACAUCAUUGCAAUGAAAUACCACUACCUCUACCCAAGCCUUUGGCUAUGUCUCUUAUAAUGGACCUUCCUUCAUUGUAACUGAAAACGGAUUGGUUUCUGUCCAAAGCAUAGACACCAGAGAUGGUCUAUAAUUGUUGUAACUGGGUUUUUAGACUCCUUAUACAGGAAUUCUACCCUAUUCUAU